UACGACCACAUCACAUUAAAAAAUCGGUUCCCUUACGAUCGCCGAAGUUAAACAACGUCGAGCCUGGCCAGUAACUAGAUGGGUGACCGCUUGGGAAUACCAGA